UCCCCUGUAGCUUGGUUGGUAAAGAAUCUGCCUGCAAUGCAGGAGACCUGGGUUCGAUUCCUGGGUCGGGAA
rnacentral:tRNA from 1 species